rnacentral:lncRNA from 1 species
CUUACUUUCAUGCAUUGGUUGGUUAGGCAUCAUCGAUUCAUCACAUGAAAAAUGAAAAUUACAAAUGUUUGGAGAGAUCUUCUGAAGAUGGAAGCAUGCGAUACCUGAAUGAAACAUGAAAAAUGAGUUAUAAUUAUGGAUGUUCCAGAAGGAAAUGUUAUAUCUGAUGGGGACUCACAUCCCAAGGAUCAUGGUGCAUUUGGUCUUCCUCUUGCAGCAAUUAUAUGCAUUGCUAUUGUGAUAUAUGGAUUAUUUGUUCUCAUAUGCAUAUUUGCAAGACAAGUGAUACUCAACAGAAGACCCCUGGCUGCUUUAGAAUCUUUGCAUUGCUGUGAAUGUCUGCUGUUGAUUCCAAAGCCUGCAGUUAAACUUUGUGACCUACCCUGUGGCCACUCAGGCAAGCCUGAAGUUCCAACAUGCAAGCUUAAUUUUGAUUGGCUGUGGGCGGCGCUGCCGGCGGUGAGGUGUCGGCUGCCCGACUCGCCUCCCGGCCCGGGCUGCUGGCCGCCCGUCCUGCCGGCCGUCCAGUGUCCCAGCAGUGUGCGCUGCUGCGGUCUGGAGAUCCGCCGAGACACCCGGCCCGGCAUGGUGGACGCCUCGGUACCGGCUGCUGAGGUGCUCGGCUCGCCGACCACCGCCGGCCGGCCAAGCUGGCGCGGCACGGUCCUGGAGACGGCCGAGUGCCGGCAGUACAGCCGUCCCCGGGUCGACUCCGGUCCUUACAGUACCCGCAGCGCAGCGCUGGACACACCCCUCACCGGCGACUACAUCCGUCACACAGCUGCCUCUGGCGACUAUAACUGCCGCGCGACUGUCUCCGGCGAGGAUGACCGUCAGACGUCCCAGUUUAGCGACUAUAGUCACCACACGUCCCAAUCGGGCGACUAUAACCGUCAUGCGGCUCAGACCAGUGACAGCAGCGAGCUUACAGCGGACUUCAGUAAGUACAGCCAACAUAGAGCAGUUCUGGACCCGACCGCCUUGCUGUAGUCGGCAACACUGCACCCAGCCAGAGCGUCGCCUCUGGCCGGGACACGACUCAAAAUCGGGACAUAGCUGCUCGACCAUCGAGGGUGGCAGGUCUGGUGAUCCCACAGAGCUGGACUUCUCGUAGGUGAUGUGAGCUACAUGCUUCAGGUUCAUGUAAGAUUUCUGAACCCCGGCUGAACACCUUUGUGAUGCCUACUUCUAUGCAUAGUUGACGUAUAAUCGUGGCGAAUUUCUAAUCGGGCUGUGUAAUAGCUACAGCUCUUAGUGCACAAAACUGCAUAGUACAAAUGUGGAAACUGCUUCCGUCCAACACCAAACUCAAUGUUGUGAUCUCGCUGUUGUUGUUACUUGUUGUUUGUGACUGUUGAUGUUUGAUGUUUGUUGUUCGCCCAAGUAGACCGGGCAUCUUCCCACAGUCUUCUUUCGAUCUGCUGGAACGGUUUCGUGUUACGUGAAAUGAUGCUGUCUUUCGCUGUAUAUUUCGCCAUUUAGGCAUUUUGAUUUAAACCGCUCUAGUCAGUAGUCACACGCUCAUUCUCGUCACUCUGACGAAUUGAAGCAUACGCUCCGAAAACGCGAUGCAUGGGAAGACCCGGUGAAAGUAGGCUGUGUGUGUGUGUGAUUAUGCAUUGCACGCGGUAUUAUGGAAUUGCCGCAAGACCGUGAGAACUGGAAGUUGUGUGCUAUUUGCCAAUUACCUGAUGUAUAAACGUUAGAUGCUUCCAUCAAUGCCACGCAACAUUAGUGUUACAGUUUGUUGUGAGGUGCUCUGUGGUAAUUAAAAAGAAAAGAUUCAGA